rnacentral:rRNA from 1 species
GAUGAACGCUGGCGGCGUGCUUAACACAUGCAAGUCGAACGAAGAUGCCGGAGUGCUUGCACUUUGGCAGACUGAGUGGCGGACGGGUGAGUAACGCGUGGGUAACCUGCCUUAUACAGGGGGAUAACAGUUGGAAACGACUGCUAAUACCGCAUAAGCGCACGGUAUCGCAUGAUACAGUGUGAAAAACUCCGGUGGUAUAAGAUGGGCUCGCGUCCGAUUAGAUAGUUGGUGGGGUAACGGCUCACCAAGUCGACGAUCGGUAGCCGGACUGAGAGGUUGAACGGCCACAUUGGGACUGAGACACGGCCCAGACUCCUACGGGAGGCAGCAGUGGGGGAUAUUGCGCAAUGGGGGAAACCCUGACGCAGCAACGCCGCGUGAAGGAUGAAGGUCUUCGGAUUGUAAACUUCUUUUAUUAAGGACGAAGAAAGUGACGGUACUUAAUGAAUAAGCUCCGGCUAACUACGUG